GAUGAACGCUGGCGGCGUGCCUAAUACAUGCAAGUCGAGCGAACAGACGAGGAGCUUGCUCCUCUGACGUUAGCGGCGGACGGGUGAGUAACACGUGGAUAACCUACCUAUAAGACUGGGAUAACUUCGGGAAACCGGAGCUCAUAUCGGAUAAUAUAUUGAACCGCAUGGUUCAAUAGUGAAAGACGGUUUUGCUGUCACUUAUAGAUGGAUCCGCGCCGCAUUAGGUAGUUGGUAAGGUAACGGCUUACCAAGGCAACGAUGCGUAGCCGACCCGAGAGGGUGAUCGGCCAGACUGGAACAGAGACUCGGUCCAGACUCCGACGGGAGGCAGCAGUAGGGAAUCUUCCGCGAGGGACGAAUGCCUGACGGUGCAACGCCGCGUGAGUGAUGAAGGUCUUCGGAUCGGAAAGCGCUGUUAUUAGUGAAGAAGAAAUGUGUAAGUAACUAGGCACGUCUUGACGGUACCUAAGCAGAAAGCCACGGCUAACUACGUG
rnacentral:rRNA from 1 species